rnacentral:tRNA from 2 species
GGCUCUGUGGCGCAAUGGAUAGCGCAUUGGACUUCUAAUUCAAAGGUUGUGGGUUCGAGUCCCACCAGAGUUG